rnacentral:rRNA from 1 species
CCAGGGUUUUAGAUACCCCCUGGGUAGUCCCCACCGCCGUAAAACCUAUGAGUGUUUAGACGUCCGGGCAGCAUGCCUGUUCCGGUGUCGCAGCUAACGCAUUAAGCCAUUCCCGCCCUGGGGGAGUACCGGCCGCAAGGUUAAAACUCCAAAGGAAUUGAGCGGGGGCCCGCACAAGGCGGUGGAGCAUGUGGUUUAAUUGGAAGCAACGCGCAUGAAUCCUUACCAUCCCUUGACAUCCCGGUCGCGGUUAUCCCGAGAGGGUUUCCCUUACAGUUCGGCUGGACCGGUGACAGGUGCUGCAUGGCUGUCGUCAGCUCGUGUCGUGAGAUGUUGGGUUAAGUCCCGCAACGAGCGCAACCCACGCCCUUAGUUGCCAGCAUUACAGUUGGGCACUCUAGGGGAACCGCCGGUGACAAGCCGGAGGAAGGUGUGGAUGACGUCAAGUCCUCAUGG